rnacentral:rRNA from 1 species
GGCGAGUGAGCGGGAAGAGCUCAAAUUUGAAAUCUGGUAGCCUUCGGUUGCCCGAGUUGUAAUCUAGAGAAGUGUUUUCCGUGCCGGCCCAUGUACAAGUCCCUUGGAACAGGGCGUCAUAGAGGGUGAGAAUCCCGUCCUUGACAUGGACCCCCGGUGCUUUGUGAUACACUUUCAACGAGUCGAGUUGUUUGGGAAUGCAGCUCAAAAUGGGUGGUGAAUUCCAUCUAAAGCUAAAUAUUGGCGAGAGACCGAUAGCGAACAAGUACCGUGAGGGAAAGAUGAAAAGCACUUUGGAAAGAGAGUUAAACAGUACGUGAAAUUGUUGAAAGGGAAACGAUUGAAGUCAGUCAUGCUCUUGGGACUUACCUCCCUUGAGUGGGGUCAACAUCAGUUUUGAUCGAUGGAUAAAGGCACGGGGAAGGUAGCACUCUCGGGUGAACUUAUAGCCUCGCGUCAUAUACAUUGAUUGGGACUGAGGAACGCAGCAUGCCUUAUGGCCGGGAUUCGUCCACGUACAUGCUUAGGAUGUUGACAUAAUGGCUUUAAACGACCCGUCUU